AAUUGGCUGGAUCAGGGCGGCAGGCCGCGGCGGCCAAUCAGCGAGCGGCUUCUAUAGGGUUUGAGUUAUUAGACGCUGAUCUCAAAACAUCCUUCAUCAGACACCAAGGAGAGGCCAACAGAUGAGGGGAGCCAUUUUUCUGCAAUGGAAUUAAAUGGCCAAGUGGGUUUUUCCUUUGUUGCAAAUGGGGAAUGUUUUUCCUUUGACUCUACCAUCCCGUUCAGGACGCCUCAGUGUGUUGUUUAACAUUUGUCAACAGGCUAAAGGACUCACAGUUGGAAGAAUGAAGACUUUUUAAAAAGACCUGGAUUUUUCCUUAUGACUUGGAAUCCAUCUUUGUCUUGUAUAACUAGGUCAUAGCACACCAUUAAUGUCAGCAGUUAACAAUUUUGAAUUCCAAAAAACCUGAGUAAAUGACAUAUUUCAUUUUUUUUUUCCUCUUUUUCUUGGGUGGGUGGGGGGAGCUUGGAGCUGUCUUAAUCUGUAUUCUCUUGACUGAACAAUAAAUUUUUAAAUAUAUGUAGUUUCCUCUAUUAAACACUUAAACCUGGCCAUCUUAUUAACUCCUUCUGCUCUCUUUUUAAAAAGGUAAUGUUUUAAAUGUCUAGGUUUAGGACUAGCGAAAUGGCAGCAACAACAAAAAAUACUGUGAGCAGUUGUUACUCUUUCAGUUUUUAAAUACCUUUUACAUUGUAAGUACCCAAUCCAUUCUGUCCUUCCGAGUGCAGUUUUCAUGUUAAUGUUGCUGAGAUGUCCUAAUUUCUGAACCUUCAUCUGCAUGUCUGUCUUUGUCUUUUGUCUAAUAUAAGCCAGUUAAAAAUGCUUUUAGACGAUUUUGCUUUUCUAAAGCUAAGGUUUUAGCUUUAAUCUUUUGAAAAUGUUUACAGCACUAAAUGCCAGUCAGCUUUCUUCCCAGUAACAUGUACACUUUCUUUGAAAAUCGAUCUAUUUGAAGAAAAACACCUCUGUUUUUCUCAUCUUAGUGAAGGGGGGGAGGGAGGGAAAGGAAGACCUCUUUGUGUAGAAAUAACUAAAGCCGUCACAGGAAACUAGAUUAAAACUGGAAAACAAGUCGUAGCUGGUCCGAGCCAAACACCAACGUUAACUCCCGGGGUAUUUUCUAUGGCGGUUGGGAUGGCUGGUGCGUCUUUUGCCUUUUGUUUGAUUCUGUAUUUUCGCCUUUUGUCUCUUAAUGACGAUCACACCAUUGCUAUAUGCAGAGCAGUAAACAGUCCUCAACGAAGCCGCCUUUUGCCAACCCAACCCUGGAAAGUUUGCAGAAGUGGAAGGAGCAGACAAUGCCAUGAGAGUGUAACUUACAAAAAGGUAACAACAACAAAAAAGGCAACACCAUUUCCCCCAAUUUUCCCAACUAAACAAUCAAAAAAAGUCCUCCAUAUCUAUAUAUUUUUUAUAAUAACACCUGCAAAACCACCGCCCAGCUUGAUCUUCCAGACUCCAUGGCACCGGGCUGAGCGGGCACUUGACUGGAGAAGGGACAGCGUGCCCGGUGUCCCAGAGCGGACAGUCCCUCCUUAUUUGGACAGCAGGAGCAGGCUUAGGUUGGCUCUGACAGUCCUCCCACCGAGGUAGGUGUGACCCCUUUACCAGACUGUGAGGGAGAUUGGGGGGCUUUAGCCUGGAGCUUCCGGAGGGCGGGAACCCCAAACCUGCCAGGCUGGUUUUGCAGCCCCUCCUCCACACAAAAAUAUGUGUGACCGUGUGUGAGUUGGGCCGCUGAGCCCAUCCAUCCAGUCUGUCAGCUUCUGUUGUCAGCAGUGUGGGGCGUGCAGUUCUCUGCCGGAUUUAGCAGCACACUAAAGGCUGCGUCUCACAACUGUUUCUCAGUAGUGCGUUUUGUGGUGGUGUUCCUGCUGCUGGAAGCUAGGCAGUGACCUGGCCUGGCCCUCCAGCCAGCAUGGGGUUGUGUGGGCUGACAGUGCCAGCAUAAGGAGACUCUGAGAGCUGACUAGCUUUCCCUGGGAAAGGUUUUACUGACCCCUUUUCCCCUCUGCUGGUAACUCCUGCAGUUCCCUCCCCAUCGCCAAAUGGAGCAGGUGUUCAUAGUCCUAUUUCUAGAAUCAGACAAACCUGGGUUUGAGACCCCGUUAGCUAUUUGUCAGCUGAGACCUCAGUACAAGCCACAUAGUCUCCCAGCCCCACUUUCUCCACCUGCAAGAAUGGGAGCAGAGAUUCUCAAACCUGAGUGAGCUCCAGAAUCACGUGGGGGUCUCUUUAAAACUGCUACACACCCCAUCCUGGAAUUUCUGGUUCAGUAGGUGGGGCCUCAGAGCUUGCCUUUCUAACAAGUUCCCUGGUGACUGUGAUUCUGCUGGUCUGGAGACAUAUUUUGGGAACCUCUGGGAUAGGGUCGCUCUGAGUCGGAAUCCACUCGAUGGCACUGGGUGGGUUUUUCUGGGUUAACACCUGGGGUGGGUGAGAGGCAGAAGUAACCUGGUGCAUUUGGAGUCCUGAGCUCAGUGCUUGGGAGAAGCGAUUGGCUUCAUAGUUAAGGGAGCUCUCAUUCUUAUUUUCCUAACACAAGCUGGCCAGUUAGUUUUCCAUUCUCUUUGUCUCCAGGAAGCGACACAGCUGGAGACGCUGAGGCCCUUGACUUCUCAGUUGUUACGUUUCUUCCCCUAUUCCACCCCUUGUGAUCUCUGGUUUGUGAUUACUUUGAUGAGCUAUUUGGGUCCAGGUGCCCCUGAUCAUGCCGUUGUCCCUGCCCCCUCUGUGCCCUACCCCUGAAGGCGAGGGCGAGGCUGAGGUUUGGGGGAGCUGCUGGGGCUUGGUGCUUGUCUAAGGGAGGCUCUAAGUCCCCCAUCUGUGGGCUUGAAUCUCAGCUGUGCCGGUGACCUUGGCAAGUCUUCUUACGUGGAAUGAUAGCAGUGCGUGCUUUUCUUGGUAUCGGGGAGAAGAAUUGAGUGCAAUGAAGGAGGCCGCCUGUCAUCCAGGCAGCACACGAGAUGGUCUCCAUUACUGUCGUGAUUAUUGCUGGGAGUGGCUGCAGGGAGCAGGGCUGCGCCCGGUCGCCAGCUCCUCCCCGACCUCAGGCAGCACGUGGCCGGGCCUGAGGGCAAAGGGGACAACUGGCUUUCCUGGUGCCAAGAGCCAGCACUGCUUUCCCUGUGGGUUUUGAGUUGGGCCGGGUGUAGUCAUCAGCACCCGUCUCCACAGACUGCUCCAUGA